rnacentral:rRNA from 1 species
AGAGUUUGAUCAUGGCUCAGGACGAACGCUGGCGGCGCGCCUAACACAUGCAAGUCGAACGAGCGAGAGAGAGCUUGCUUUCUCGAGCGAGUGGCGAACGGGUGAGUAACGCGUGAGGAACCUGCCUCAAAGAGGGGGACAACAGUUGGAAACGACUGCUAAUACCGCAUAAGCCCACAGUGCCGCAUGGUACAGAGGGAAAAGGAGCAAUCCGCUUUGAGAUGGCCUCGCGUCCGAUUAGCUAGUUGGUGAGGUAACGGCCCACCAAGGCGACGAUCGGUAGCCGGACUGAGAGGUUGAACGGCCACAUUGGGACUGAGACACGGCCCAGACUCCUACGGGAGGCAGCAGUGGGGAAUAUUGCACAAUGGGGGAAACCCUGAUGCAGCGACGCCGCGUGGAGGAAGAAGGUCUUCGGAUUGUAAACUCCUGUUGUUGGGGAAGAUAAUGACGGUACCCAACAAGGAAGUGACGGCUAACUACGUGCCAGCAGCCGCGGUAAAACGUAGGUCACAAGCGUUGUCCGGAAUUACUGGGUGUAAAGGGAGCGCAGGCGGGAAGACAAGUUGGAAGUGAAAUCUAUGGGCUCAACCCAUAAACUGCUUUCAAAACUGUUUUUCUUGAGUAGUGCAGAGGUAGGCGGAAUUCCCGGUGUAGCGGUGGAAUGCGUAGAUAUCGGGAGGAACACCAGUGGCGAAGGCGGCCUACUGGGCACCAACUGACGCUGAGGCUCGAAAGUGUGGGUAGCAAACAGGAUUAGAUACCCUGGUAGUCCACACCGUAAACGAUGAUUACUAGGUGUUGGAGGAUUGACCCCUUCAGUGCCGCAGUUAACACAAUAAGUAAUCCACCUGGGGAGUAGGACCGCAAGGUUGAAACUCAAAGGAAUUGACGGGGGCCCGCACAAGCAGUGGAGUAUGUGGUUUAAUUCGACGCAACGCGAAGAACCUUACCAAGUCUUGACAUCCCUUGACAGGCAUAGAAAUAUGUUUUCUCUUCGGAGCAAGGAGACAGGUGGUGCAUGGUUGUCGUCAGCUCGUGUCGUGAGAUGUUGGGUUAAGUCCCGCAACGAGCGCAACCCUUAUGGUCAGUUACUACGCAAGAGGACUCUGGCCAGACUGCCGUUGACAAAACGGAGGAAGGUGGGGAUGAUGUCAAAUCAUCAUGCCCUUUAUAACUUGGGCUACACACGUACUACAAUGGCGUUAAACAAAGAGAAGCAAGACCGCGAGGUGGAGCAAAACUCAGAAACAACGUCCCAGUUCGGACUGCAGGCUGCAACUCGCCUGCACGAAGUCGGAAUUGCUAGUAAUCGUGGAUCAGCAUGCCACGGUGAAUACGUUCCCGGGCCUUGUACACACCGCCC